ACAUUCGUGCCGAAAGCAUCUGCCAAGGAUGUUUUCAUUAAUCAAGAACGAAAGUUAGGGGAUCGAAGACGAUCAAAUACCGUCGUAGUCUUAACCAUAAACGAUGCCGACCAGCGAUUAGGAGACGUUGAAUACAAAACACCACCAUCGGUGCGGUCGUCCUUGGCGUCUCGGUUUCGGCCGGGGCGCGGGGAUGGCUUAGCCCGGUGGCACCGGUGAA
rnacentral:rRNA from 1 species